rnacentral:rRNA from 1 species
GUGGGGAAUCUUGCGCAAUGGGCGAAAGCCUGACGCAGCCAUGCCGCGUGAAUGAUGAAGGUCUUAGGAUUGUAAAAUUCUUUCACCGGGGACGAUAAUGACGGUACCCGGAGAAGAAGCCCCGGCUAACUUCGUGCCAGCAGCCGCGGUAAUACGAAGGGGGCUAGCGUUGCUCGGAAUUACUGGGCGUAAAGGGAGCGUAGGCGGACAGUUUAGUCAGAGGUGAAAGCCCAGGGCACAACCUUGGAAUUGACUUUGAUACUGGCUGUCUUGAGUACGGGAGAGGUGAGUGGAACUCCGAGUGUAGAGGUGAAAUUCGUAGAUAGUCGGAAGAACACCAGUGGCGAAGGCGACUAACUGGCCCGUUACUGACGCUGAGGCGCGAAAGCGUGGGGAGCAAACAGGAUUAGAAACCCGAGUAGUCC